UAAGUACUUUUGCGAUGACGAAGUCAUCUAUAUAUCAGUAUAUUGUCACAUCAUAGGUCAUACUCAUCGCUUAAGCACAAGUGGGGUUGCCACUUUUACAUAAAUCUUUCAAUGUGUUCACAUCUUUGAGAGAUGCUUAUACUCAAGUCUUAGAGUAAAGCUCCCCCUUGAUGUGACAUCCCCCCUAAGAGGGAUAAACUAACAUUGGAUUUUGUCGUAGAAGACUUCAUGUAGGUGUAGUAUUGGUGAAUGCUCAUUGUUGAUGAAGUUCAUCUUGAGUUGGGAGUAAUCCUUGUUUUUUCUUAUUCUUCUCACCUACACGGGUUAGUCCCAAAGCACAAGGAACAUAUGCAAGGAUAUCUAUCGACAUGGAAUGAAGUGCAUGUGAUAUAAUGUCCAAAGAUACAUUAAUUACCUUGUCCCUUGCUUACCUUUGAGGGAAUGUGUGACUCCUCGAACUAAUGCAUAGGGUUGAAGCUGAUUGCAAUUAGUUCUUGCGAAAAUUAAUAAGAGUGAAUUUCAUUGGCGGAGUCAUCCCUCAAGAACUUCUCUAGUUCUUGUUAGAAAUAUGCCCUAGAGGCAAUAAUAAAAUGGUUAUUAUCAUAUUUCCUUGUUCAUGAUAAUCGUCUAUUGUUCACGCUAUAAUUGUAUUAACAGGAAACAUUAAUACAUGUGUGAAUAAAUAGACCAAAUGUGUCCCUAGCAAACCUCUAGUUGGCUAGCUCGUUGAUCAAUAGAUGAUCAUGGUUUCCUGAUCAUGGACAUUAGAUGUUAUUGAUAAUGGGAUCACAUCAUUGGGAGAAUGAUGUGAUGGACAAGACCAAAUCCUAAGCAUAGCACUGGAUCGUGUUGUUCG
rnacentral:lncRNA from 1 species